UAUUCCCAGAUUGAAUAUUGUCCAGAG
rnacentral:misc_RNA from 1 species